CCCCUUCCGCCUUCGCCGCCGUGCUCCUCCUUCUCUCCUCUUCCUCCAGUAGCACAGCUCCACACCCCUGCUCCUCUUUAUCUCCUCGUCGUCAAGCAGACCGGCCACUUCAUCCUCCACUUCAACGAUGCGCCCGGGCCAGAUCGCAGGUGCGCCAUUCUGACAUUAGGGGAUCGAGCCCCCCAUCCUCAACUGCGAUUAGGGCUUUGGCGGGUUGGAAAUUGAUUGGAUCUACUGCCGAUGUAGCGCAGGUCCGGCCACCGAAAUCCACGCAUCAUUUCGAUCAAAACACAACGCCAUGUAUGUUGUGACAGGUCAACUCGUCGCUUCGUGUAAGCCUCUGUUGUACAUAUGUUUUGAGCCACAUGAUGCCAAACAUGCAUCAUUGGUUUCUCAAAUGCCUAGCACUGACCUUUGAACAUGAUGUCGGUGGCGUCAACCGAAGGCAGCAGAAGAAGUGGUAGAGACAUGAGCGGAGAUACCGACCGAGGCCCUCCCUGAAGACGUGUGUUUGAUGACAUAGUGUGUGAACUCGAGCUUCCGCAACCAUUAAACAGACCCAGAUAUCUCCAUGUUGUGGUUAAUAGCUGGCAGCAGCAUCCCUGUUGCUUGCUGCGAUCACAGUGGCGGCAAUUUUCAUUCGGUGAUACUUUGCCUAUGCAUUUCCUAUUGUGCCGCUGCAACCGAAGACA